GAUGAACGCUAGCGGCAGGCUUAAUACAUGCAAGUCGUGGGGCAGCAGGAAGUAGCAAUACUUUGCCGGCGACCGGCAAACGGGUGCGUAACACGUACGCAACUUUCCCUUUACUGGAAGAUAGCCCACCGAAAGGUGGAUUAAUACUCCAUAUUAUAAUUAAACGGCAUCGUUUUAUUAUCAAAGCUCAGGCGGUAAAGGAUGGGCGUGCGGCUGAUUAGAUAGUUGGCUGGGUAACGGCCCACCAAGUCUACGAUCAGUAGCUGAGGUCAGAGCAUGAUCAGCCACACGGGCACUGAGACACGGGCCCGACUCCUACGGGAGGCAGCAGUAAGGAAUAUUGGUCAAUGGACGCAAGUCUGAACCAGCCAUGCCGCGUGAAGGAUGAAGGUCCUCUGGAUUGUAAACUUCUGUUAUAUGGGACGAAACACUUUCUUUCUAGAGAGCUUGACGGUACCAUAGGAAUAAGCACCGGCUAACUCCGUGCCAGCCGCCGCCGUAAAAC
rnacentral:rRNA from 1 species